AAUUCAGAGCUUUUCUCCUCAAGAGCUACUGUUGGAAAUUGGUAUAGAGACUUGUCCUAGUUUUAUUUUGUGUUGUCUAUUUAAUUUUUGCUUGCAAUGGCGUGCUUUUGUAACUGAUUUGCAUGUUGCAGGAUUGAAUAUUUUUUUUUUUUUUUGGUUGCAGGAUUUUGGUUUGGGUACACUUGUGACUAUCUUGUGGAUUUUCUUAUUGCAGGUAAUUGCUUUAUUUCCCAUCGUCUUAAAAUGUAGAUGAUUUUCCACUGAUUUUUGCUGUUUGUUAUUGGUUGCACUAUUGGUAGUGAGAUUGUUUUCAUACAGAGGCUGCAUCAUAUAGUAUUGCUGUGAGGAUGAAGGUUGUGUGACUACACCAAGAGAUUGGGAAACUGCAGAUCGGACCACAUAUUGUAAUCACGCAUGAUUUGAACUUUUCAUGCAAAUCUAGUCUGCAAAUAGUGUGUUCGAUUCCUGUGAGGAUGAUAAUGAUUGUAUUCAAAAUGAUAAAGUGAGCCUAGGAGCUGAUUCAAUGCAAAUGGAUGGGUCUUUUGAAUCUGACAGUUAGGUUCACUAAUGAUUAAAGGAUCGGUACAUAGUUGCCUAUAUAGAUGACCGCAUGAUUGGGGAGCAGCUAAGAGAUCAACCGGGCGGGAUUUCAUCACCGAAUGGAGGGAGGUAGCGUCUCUGCACUUCUUACUUCUUCUGGUUACAUAUGUUACCUUUAAGGAAUUCAAGGAGCAACAGAUACAAAUUUCUCUUGGGAUUACCGUUAAGAGCCCACUUGAAAGGUAUAUUCACAAGUCAUGAGCUUGUUAAUCCUCAGGUAUCAUAUUAAGUUAGUAUCAAUAGGUUAAUGUAAGGAUGUUGAUCGUAUUAAGUUGUUUUUUUUUUUCCCUACUUUAUGAAAAAGAAAAUUUGGCAUUGGAAUUUGAGCAUGAUGUUCUUAACAAAAACAAAUUGAUGAUGUUC